ACAGUACACAUACCGGAUACAGUACACAUACCAGAUACAGUACACACACCGGAUACGAUGUGUAAGAUAAUAAGCUAAUUGAUUCUAUGUACGUAUCAUGUGGCAGAAACGGACUGUCAGAUGCAGAGAUCCUUCUGCCCAUCUCGAUCUUCCUGCUGCAGCCUGCAGAGAUGCUGGGGCUCCUUCUUAGUGUUACUCAGUGUCCAUUCUCUGCACAACCUCCUCCACCAGUUCAACAGCGAGUGGAGUGACUUUUUCUGUCAGGACAGAGGUGGUGCCCUUCUUGUAGCGGUACACUCCUUCCCUGCAAGAACCAACAACACAAGUGGUCAGGGGCCAGGAUGUGGGCCUUGCUGGUUAGGUCAGCAUUAAUGCCCAUAAUUUCCCAGAAGGCAGUCACGAAUCAACGACAUUGCUGUGGGUCUGAAGUCACCAGAAGACCAGACCAGAUGGUGGAGAAAAAGUGGAGAGUGUGGUUAAACAGAAGUAUCCUGCUGCUGAAAGUUUCACAAAGCCCAG